AUUGAACGCUGGCGGCAGGCCUAACACAUGCAAGUCGGACGGUAGCACAGAGGAGCUUGCUCCUCGGGUGACGAGUGGCGGACGGGUGAGUAAUGUCUGGGGAUCUGCCCGAUAGAGGGGGAUAACCACUGGAAACGGUGGCUAAUACCGCAUAACGUCGCAAGACCAGAGGGGGACCUUCGGGCCUCUCACUAUCGGAUGAACCCAGAUGGGAUUAGCUAGUAGGCGCGGUAACGGCCCACCUAGGCGACGAUCCCUAGCUGGUCUGAGAGGAUGACCAGCCACACUGGAACUGAGACACGGUCCAGACUCCUACGGGAGGCAGCAGUGGGGAAUAUUGCACAAUGGGCGCAAGCCUGAUGCAGCCAUGCCGCGUGUAUGAAGAAGGCCUUCGGGUUGUAAAGUACUUUCAGCGGGGAGGAAGGCGAUGUGGUUAAUAACCGCGUCGAUUGACGUUACCCGCAGAAGAAGCACCGGCUAACUCCGUGCCAGCAGCCGCCGUAA
rnacentral:rRNA from 1 species